UUAAUACGGAAUAUAUUGAUAAAAGUACAGUACCUACAAAAAGCAUGACUCAUAGCUGCCAAAUUUAUUGAUAGGUCAUAUUUUUAGAUAAGGCUCUUAUUAUAUGAUACGUAUUCAACGUUGCCCAGGGAUUACUUUUGGAAGUACUGCGUGUAACUUUGUGACUAGGAAAGUAAGCAAAUUAUCUGUUGACUGUUAGAUAUAACGUAAUAAACGUAUAUCUCCAGCGUAAACACGGCACUAGUCAUUGCGAUGAAGCCGCCGUGAGCAGAUAGCGGGCUCUCGGCUCUGGUCCCGGACGCUGCUUGCUACAGCUUCCCACUCGGGCCUGGACAACAGCGCCACCGCCGGCGCCGCUCACGGACCCGGCUAUAGCGUGCGCAGUCCUGAUCGUCGCUAGAUAGAUAUCGUAUAGCUAUUGCAACGAAGCUUAUCAUCGAUACCUUACUUAUUGGUGGACUGAAGUGUUUGCGCGACUGAUACGGCGGGCGAGGACCAAUCGAUUCCCUCGAUUCAUCGAAUCUUAUCACGAUCAUGGCGAACAUUCAUACCUCGUGUCAAUUCCCCGAUAUCGUAUCAAAGAUAUCGUAAAAGUAUAAAUAUGAGCCCAUCGAUCGAUCCGGUCUCUGUCCAAGUACAAGCUGUGUAACGUCUGCCUGUCAGGAAUAGCUAAGUGUAGUGUCACGGGUUGGAGUCCUGCGCGUCUCCUGUUUCAAGCAGAACCGCUGGCUUCACGUCUGAGUUGGACAGGGGAUCUAGACAGUUUGACGUGGAAUGCUGCCAGAUCUAUCUUUCCAGCUCACGCGUGGAGCCGCGAGAAGUCUGCUGCGUCUCUCCGCACUAAACUCUGAGGACACCGCGCAAAGAAGUUGAGCGAGUGAAGGGUUAAGUGGAGGUGUGAUCUCUUCACUUUUUUUGGUUAAAGUGAGAUUCAACUCCUCCAACUUAACCCUGACUUGCAUGACCUACACAGACGAGGCGGACCGAGUUACGAAGACCAAUUUUAUUUUUCUUGACCGUUUUUACAUGGAUUUUGCUAUUUUUGUUUUAUGAGUGAUUUGAAAUGUGUUUGUAAAAAAACUAUUUAAUACGGAUUUUUUCUUCUAUGAAGAAACUUCACGAUAACAAACCGCACCACAUUAUUAUAAUUGCAUAUCAUUAAUAAAAAAUCUUAUUACAAUUGUUAUUAAAAUAUCCUUAUUUAUUUUAAACAUGACAUGACAUUUAA